CUCGUAGGCCGCUCUGUAAGUCGGAAGUGAAAGACCACGGCUCAACCGUGGAAACGCUUUCGAAACUGUGGAGCUUGAGGCCGGGAGAGGAGAUUGGAAUUCCUGGUGUAGCGGUGAAAUGCGUAGAUAUCAGGAGGAACACCCGUGGCGAAGGCGAAUCUCUGGACCGGUUCUGACGCUGAGGAGCGAAAGCUAGGGGAGCAAACAGGAUUAGAUACCCUGGUAGUCCUAGCUGUAAACGAUGGGCACUAGGUGUGGGGGGAUCGACCCCUUCCGUGCCGCAGUUAACGCAUUAAGUGCCCCGCCUGGGGAGUACGACCGCAAGGUUGAA
rnacentral:rRNA from 1 species